rnacentral:rRNA from 1 species
UGCCAGCAGCCGCGGUAACACGGGGGGCGCAAGCGUUAUUCGGAAUUAUUGGGCGUAAAGGGCGCGUAGGCGGUCUUGUCGGUCAGAUGUGAAAGCCCAGGGCUCAACCCUGGACGUGCAUUUGAAACAGCAAGACUUGAAUACUGGAGAGGAGAGCGGAAUUCCUGGUGUAGAGGUGAAAUUCGUAGAUAUCAGGAGGAACACCGAUGGCGAAGGCAGCUCUCUGGACAGAUAUUGACGCUGAGGCGCGAAAGCGUGGGGAGCAAACAGGAUUAGAUA